rnacentral:rRNA from 1 species
UACGUAGGGGGCAAGCGUUGUCCGGAUUUACUGGGCGUAAAGAGCGUGUAGGCGGCCAUACAGGUCCGUUGUGAAAACUGGAGGCUCAACUUCCAGACGUCGACGGAAACCGUGUGGCUAGAGUCCGGAAGAGGAGAGUGGAAUUCCUGGUGUAGCGGUGAAAUGCGCAGAUAUCAGGAAGAACACCUAUGGCGAAGGCAGCACUCUGGGACGGUACUGACGCUGAGACGCGAAAGCGUGGGGAGCGAACAGG